GCUGCCGUCAGCAGUCCCUGAUUUAUUAUUCGAGCUGGAUACUGGAACUCUGAGGUGUGAUUCUGCCACAUGACUCUGAAUGAAAGAGGUUAUUCUCCAUGUUGUACGUGGCCUCAGCCAGCCACUCUGAAGCCCGGAAACACCCAGACCUCCUGAGGAGAAAUGUGUGCCUCCAGCCUGGCUUCAGAACGACAGGAGGAGACACAGCACUAGAGCGCUCUUACCGACUGAACCAUCUCCCCAGACCGGAGCCCAACCUUUAAAAGAAAGGAAAAUGAAAUGUCUUUAUCAUGGUUCUUAUUCUCUUCCUCUUUGUCCAUAUCUUUACUUUCUAGAAUGUCCCAGAGCAGACUUUUUGAAUGGCUGGGGUUCCAAGUUAUAGUCUGAACACCCCUGGCACUCUGGAAUGGGGGGGGGGCUACACAUGAACUCUCCCUGAGUCUCCACUGCCUCGUGAAAUGCAAUGGUUCUGAUGUAUGCAUGGAUACCUCCAGCUCGCACAUUUCAUAGGUUUAUGAUUUCUUUGUUCUAAUAAAAAACCAUUCACCGGUCUUC